GCAGCAGCACCGCGGGGACGCGGCGGCCGCGGGGACACGGCCGGGCUCCGGGGACACGGCCCGGCUCAGGACAAGGGGCUUUGCUGCAGCCACACCGGGAGGUGCCGGGAUAAAGGCGGAUCUCAGCCCCGGUGCCCAGCGUCACCCGCGUUCUCCGCCCGCCCGGGCGCCGCUGUGGGGAUGGAGGAGGGACGGCGGCGGGCGCAGCGCUGGGCUUGUGGCUCCGGGGAUCCUCGGCUCUGCCUCGGCGCUGAGGUGUGCUGACCAUGCUGCCGCUGAUCCCGCCCGUCUGCGAGACCCCUCUGGAGGAGCACUUUUAGGGUUUGCUCUGCAGAUCCAUGGACCUGGACCCCCAUGCCAGCAUGCAGGUGGGGAUGAGGGUAGUGCGUGGAGUGGACUGGAAGUGGGGCAGCCAGGACAGCGGCGAGGGCAACGUGGGCACCGUGGUGGAGAUCGGCCGCACGGGCAGCCCCACCACGCCCGACAAGACCGUGGUGGUGCAGUGGGACCAGGGCAACAGAACCAACUACCGCACGGGCUUCCAGGGGGCCUACGACCUGCUGCUCUACGACAACGCCCAGAUAGGUGUCCGCCACCCCAACAUCAUCUGUGACUGCUGCAAGAAGCACGGCAUCCGAGGCAUGAGGUGGAAAUGCAAGAUGUGCUUUGACUACGACCUGUGCACCCAGUGCUACAUGAACAACAAGCACGACCUGUCGCACUCCUUCGAGCGCUACGAGACCGCUCAUUCCCAGCCGGUCCUCGUGAGCCCUCGGCAGAAUCUGACUCGCAUCACGUUAAAAGGGACUUUCCAGGGGGCUAAAGUGGUCCGUGGGCCUGACUGGGAGUGGGGCAACCAGGAUGGGGGCGAGGGCAAGAUUGGCCGCGUGGUCGAUAUCCGCGGCUGGGACGUGGAGACCGGCCGCAGCGUCGCCAGCGUCACCUGGGCAGAUGGCACCACCAACGUCUACAGGGUGGGCCACAAGGGAAAAGUGGACCUCAAGUGUACUGUGGAGGCUUCUGGGGGCUUCUACUACAAGGAGCACCUCCCAAAAUUAGGGAAACCAGCUGAGCUGCAGAGGAAGGAGAGCACAGACAGGCAUCCCUUCCAGCACGGGGACAAGGUGAAGUGCCUGCUGGACAUCGACAUCCUGCGCGAGAUGCAGGAGGGCCACGGGGGCUGGAAUCCCAAAAUGGCUGAGUUCAUUGGGCAGACAGGGACCGUGCACAGGAUCACGGACAGAGGGGACGUGAGGGUCCAGUUCAACCCUGAGACCCGCUGGACUUUCCACCCCGGAGCCCUGACCAAGCUCAACACCUUUUGGGUUGGUGAUGUGGUCCGGGUGAUAGAUGAUAUGGAAACAGUGAAGCGGUUCCAACCUGGUCAUGGGGAGUGGACAGAUGAGAUGGCACCUACCCUGGGGCACAUUGGGAAGGUGAUCAAGGUCUAUGGGGAUGGAGAUCUGCGAGUGUCAGUGGGGGGACAGUCCUGGACCUUCAACCCUGCCUGCCUGACAGCCUACCAGAGGGAGGAGGAGGCCAACCUGAUGACCACGGAGAGUGCCAAGGAGUCCAAAAGUACUUUGGUGACUGUCCUGGAGAAGCUGCUGUCCCAGAGGACAGAGUCAGAGCACGCAGGGUGCCUGGUCAUUUGUGCAGCCCUCAACAACGCAGCUAAAAUCCGGGAGCUCCUCCAGAAGUACCCAGACAAGGUGGAUGCCAAGAACCAGGGCAGGACUGCCCUGCAGAUUGCCUCUUACCAGGGGCACCUGGAGGUGGUGAAGACCCUGCUGCAGGCACACGCCAACGUCGACCUGCGUGACGACGAGGGGGACACGGCGCUGCACUACGCAGCCUUUGGAAACCAAGCCGAAGUUGCCCGUGUGCUGCUGGCCAAGGGGGCCAGUGCAGACCUGCUGAACAAUGCCAAGUGCACAGCCCUGUACGUCGCUGUCAGCCAAGGCUUCACCGAGGUGGUGAGAGCCCUCUGUGAGCUCAACUGUGAUGUCAACCUCCCAGAUGCCCGGGGAGACACCCCCCUGCAUUAUGCUAUCACCCUGGACUACAAAGUGGUGAUUGAGAUUCUCACUGAAGUUCCCAACAUCGAUUUCACCGUCAAGAACUGUCAAGGCUUCAACCUGCUCCACUAUUCUGCCCUGAAAGGCAACAAGCUAGCCAUAAAGAAGAUUCUGGCCAGGGCUCGACAGCUGGUGGACUCCAAAAAGGAGGAUGGCUUCACUGCCCUGCACCUUGCUGCCCUCAACAACCACUUGGAAGUGGCUGAAAUUCUCAUCAAAGAGGGUCGCUGUGACGUGAACGUGAAGAACAGCAGGAAGCAGAGCCCGCUGCACCUGGCAGUGAUCCAGGGCCACGUGGGCAUGGUGCAGCUGCUGGUGAGGCAGGGCAGCGACGUCAAUGCCGAGGAUGAGGAUGGGGACACGGCCAUGCACAUCGCCCUGGAGCGCCAGCAGCUCAUGGCCCUGGCCCUGGAGAAGAGGGACGGGGACAUGGGAGGCACCCUGCUGGCCAAGCUGCAGGCUUCUGGCUUGCUGGGAAAUGUGGAGCUGAACGUUGGGACUGCCAUGGCCUGCUACUUAGCACAAGAAGGAGCAGAUAUUAAUUAUGCAAAUCAUCGGGGAAAGUCUCCUUUGGACCUCAUCACAGAUGGGAGGAUUGUCCAGAUUGUCAAAGACUUCUCACAGAAAUUCAGGGAUCAGCAGGUUUCUUCUGGGAGCUCCAGCAUCACCUGCAGCCUUCGCCGUGUGCACACCACGCCCAACACCAUGACCAACCUCAGUGUCUCCAGCCUGGCAGUGCCCACAGAGUGCCUGGUCUGCUCAGAGCUGGCCUUGCUCAUCCAUUUCUUCCCGUGCCAGCACAGUAUUGUGUGUGAAGAGUGCUCCAGGAGGAUGAAGAAGUGCAUCAAAUGUCAAGUGACAAUAACCAAAAAGCUGAAGCAAGACAGCACGGAGGUGGAGUGCAGCCCCAGCUCGGAGGGCACGGAGCAGAGGAAGCUGAUGGAGGAGCUGCAGAGCCGCUACCGGCAGAUGGAGGAGAGGAUCACCUGCCCCAUCUGCAUCGACGACCAGAUCAAGCUGGUGUUCCAGUGCGGGCACGGCUCGUGCCCAGACUGCAGCACGGCGCUGACCGUGUGCCCCAUCUGCCGCCAGGCCAUCCGAGAGAGGAUCCACAUCUUCGUCUGAGCCUGCUCCUCCUGUGCCCCAUCUGCCGCCAGGCCAUGCAGGACAGGAUCCACAUCUUCCUCUGAGGGUGCCCCUCCUCCCUGUGCCCCAUCUGCCGCCAGGCCAUCCGCGAGAGGAUCCACAUCUUUGUCUGAGGGAGUUCCAUCAGCCCCAUCUGCCGCCAGGCCAUGCAGGACAGGAUCCACAGAUUCAUCUGAGGGUGCCCCUCCUCCCUGUGCCCCAUCUGCCUCCAGGAGGGGAUCCACAGCUUCCUCUGAGGGUGUUCCAUCAGCCCCAUCUGCCGCCAGGCCAUCCGCGAGAGGAUCCACAUCUUUGUCUGAGAGUGCCCCUCCUCCCUGUGCCCCAUCUGCCCAGGAGAGGAUCCACAGCUUCUUCUGAGGGUGUUCCUCCACCCCCAUCUGCCGCCAGGCCAUCCAGGAGGGGAUCCACAUCUUUGAGGAUCCACAUCUUCCUCUGAGGAUGCUCCUUCUCCCCCCAUCUGCCUCCAGGCCGUGCAGGAGAGGAUCCACAUCUUCGAGAGGAUCCACAUCUUCCUCUGAGGAUGCUGCUCCUGACUGUUCCAUCUGCCCAGGAGAGGAUCCACGUCUUGGCUGAGGAUGUUCCUCCACCCCCGUCUGCCUCCAGGCCAUCCAGGAGAGGAUCCAUGCUGCUCCUCCCUGUGUCCCAUCUGCCCAGGACAGGAUCCCCAUCCUGGCUGAGGGUGCUCCUCCCCGGCCCCAGCCCUGCUGUGCCUCCUCCCUCCGCAGGGGUUUGGCUCCCUGGGGAAAGGAGGGGAGCACAGGAGGGAUGUGCCAGGGCAGGAGGAGGAGGAGGAGGAGGAGGAGGAGGAGGAGUCCCCUCUGGGGUGUCCAGGGAAGGGACAGCCCCUGCCUCACCUGUGCUGCUCAUCCAGAACCACCGGACCGACCACGCUUCAGAGCUGGGCUGGGCAGAUCCUGGAAUGUUCCAGAGUGAACAGAUCCUGGGGUGUCCCAGAGCUGGGCAGAUCCUGGGAUGUUCCAGAGCUGGGCAGAUCCCUGGGAUGCUCCAGAGAUGAACAGAUCCUGGGAUGUCCCAGAGCUGGGCAGAUCCCUGGGAUGCUCCAGAGAUGAACAGAUCCUGGGAUGCUCCAGAGAUGAACAGAUCCUGGGGUGUCCCAGAGUAGAGCAGAUCCUGGGGUGUUCCAGAGCUGAGCAGAUCCUGGGGUGUCCCAGAGUGAACAGAUCCUGGGAUGUUCCAGAGUGAACAGAUCCUGGGGUGUCCCAGAGCUGAGCAGAUCCUGGAGUGUUCCAGGGCUGAGCAGAUCCUGGGGUGUCCCAGAGAUGAACAGAUCCUGGAGUGUUCCAGAGUGAACAGAUCCUGGGGUGUCCCAGAGCUGAGCAGAUCCUGGGGUGUCCCAGAGAUGAACAGAUCCUGGAGUGUUCCAGAGUGAACAGAUCCUGGGGUGUCCCAGAGCUGAGCAGAUCCUGGGGUGUCCCAGAGCUGGGCAGAUCCUGGGAUGCUCCAGAGGUGAACAGAUCCUGGGAUGCUCCAGAGAUGAACAGAUCCUGGGGUGUCCCAGAGCUGAACAGAUCCUGGGAUGCUCCAGAGCUGAGCAGAUCCUGGGAUGCUCCAGAGAUGAACAGAUCCUGGGGUGUCCCAGAGUGAACAGAUCCUGGGGUGUCCCAGAGCUGAAUAGAUCCUGGGAUGUUCCAGAGUGAACAGAUCCUGGGAUGCUCCAGAGAUGAACAGAUCCUGGGGUGUCCCAGAGUGAACAGAUCCUGGGGUGUCCCAGAGCUGAAUAGAUCCUGGGAUGUUCCAGAGUGAACAGAUCCUGGGGUGUCCCAGAGCUGAGCAGAUCCUGGGAUGUCCCAGAGUGAACAGAUCCUGGGAUGUUCCAGAGCUGAGCUGGGCAGAUCCUGGAACGUUCCAGAGGCAUCCAGGAGAGCUCCCAGCUCCCGGGGAGGUCCCAGGAGCAGCUGGCCCGGCUGCCAGGGACGCAGGGCCAGGGAGGGGCUGUCCCCUGUGCAGCCCGGGCUCAGCUGCUGCCAGGAGUCCUAAGGACAGAGCGUGUGCCUUAGAGAAAAAGUAGUGAACACUGAUUGGAGAAAAUCUGUUACAACAAAUCUCUGACCUCUAAGUGACACUCUUCUUCUUCUUCUUCUUCUUCUUCUUCCAUAUUUUAUUUCAUUUUUUUGGCAGAGCCGUGUGUUCAGAGACUCCUGAGCUUUCUAUCCAUAAUGCCAAAGGCAGGUGUUAAAUACUCCAAUCAAAGUGUAAAGAAAAUAAAUAGUAAUAAUUAAGGUACGAGGGGGAGGAGGGAAAAAAAAAAAAAACAAAAAAGGGAUUUCAUUUUUGUUUCUUUGUUUUGCAGCAAAACUUAAUAAAAUAAAAAUAUCUAUUUUCCUGAGCAUUAAAAAUGAAUGUACAAACAGUAGCUGUAUUGUUUUCCAGCUGAGUGGAGAAUUAUCAGCACUCAGCCAUCCUGUAAAGUAAAUUUUGGUGGAAGUGUG